GUAAUCAAUUUCCAGUUGCAAAUAGACAACCGAGUGUGUUAUACCGUUCGAUUUAGCGCACAUUUAUUCACCUCCCCCCGCACGGAUUUCUCCACACGUUUAUCGCUAUUUAUAUGCAUAUUUUUGCGAAUGUUUAUGGUGUGAAGUGUAAAUUGGAAAUGGAGGAAGCGCAAACCAAGAAUGGUAGGCUGGAUACUGAUAGGUUUGGAGGUCGCGCCAGAAUUGAAAAUUUGAAAUGGAAUGUUAAGUGGACAACUACCAGGUCUUAAUUAUUAAACUGUAAACAACACAAUCAACCAAAUAUUAUACAAGCAAUUAUUUAAUCGGUUUUCGGUGCAACGAACAUGUAUUGCCACCGAUACGUCGAAACAGCAAUUCAACGUAAUUCAUUGAAGCAACAUUGUCGCAGCACACGCAAAAUUUGGAGCAGUGCAAUUCCACUUGCCGUCUUUACAUGCUAAUACACACAUGCACACUCGCACACAAAUCUGGCAACACACAAAUCUGGCAACAAACGAAAUAAUAAUAAAACGCCACGCAAAUUUUUGGGAAUUAAAAAUUGUAUAAAUUUAACGCAAAUAUUACAUCGAUAUUUUGCAGCGGAUUUGUAGAUAACUCCAAGUUAUUUUACAUUAAAUUAUCUUAGUACGCCGACAAAUUAACACAAAACAAAACACUGUCACGGUUAAUAUUUGAAACGCGCCCGACACAAAUGAAAUGAACUCAAACACGUCAAAGAACAAACUGACAAGAGCGAAUCGACUGAAAUUCGCUUGAACUGCCGCUGUCAGUUUUCCUCUGGUUUGUUAGCCCGUGUGGGUAUGCGUGUAUUUGUUGACUUGCUAUUGGAGUUGGAGCUUUGGAUACAAAGCAGUGGUGGAUGAUUUUAAUUUUACUGUGUGUGAUAAAAUGCAGCGGGCGGGUUAGAGAAUAAACAAAAAAUAGCAAUGCAAAGCGUAAUGUCAAAACCAUAAAUGUCAACAAUUCUAGCGGCCAGUAGAGGUAUUGCGAUACAGGGUGAUAUAGCGAUAUUGGAUUUCAAUAUACAACUCUUAAAUCUGUUCAGUAGAACAACUAUAUUAACCGAUUUAUAUGAUUUAAUAAAUUUAUUAAUUUCCA